AAACAAAACGAUGACUUCAUGUUGUUGUUGAAGGAUCAAAAACAUGUUACGCAUUUCUCAUGACACAAACCAAAAAGAUCAGUUUGAUCGUCUUGCCACAAAUAUUUUAAUGAUGCAAACUAGACUUUGGUGCAGAAACCCGAACCCACAGAUACAUUGUAGUCCUGUAGGAAAGACUGGGUCUUAUUGUGGAAUACUUCCCUGCCUUGAAGUACUUCAGACCACAGUUAACAAGAUUUGGCUGCUCCCCGAACAGUGAAGCACAUUAGCAUGUUAGCAUAGGUGUGAGCCCCCUAAAAACAGAUUUAGAAAUGACACUCUGCAAUUGCCGUGGACGCCCUCUUUGACGGGAGUUUUUUGUGGCGCUUCAGCCGGAGGGAGAUCUCUUGGGAUCUGAGGUAUUUCUAUGUCCUGUUUCUUUUCUGUGUCCAAACUGGACCACAAGGGAGAAAAGCAUGUUUGAGACUCUAGCAGCCCACCCAUUUGCUGGCGACUUUGGUAAGGACCAGACAGCCCAGCACGGUGACCCCGAGACCAGUCCACGCACCACACUGCUCUAACCAGGGUCACCGUAGCAACUGCAGAAACAACAGUCACACUGCUCUGACAUCAAAGACCUCAACUUGGUGAGCAACUCUUUCAGGUCUUCCAGGACUUUCUGCAGCUUGAUGACGUCAGCCUGAGUCCUCCUGGCAAAGUCCUGGACAUCGGGAACUUCCAAUUGAUGAUUGCUGACUGUUCUGUUACAACUAAAAGUUGUAAACUCUUGUUGUUGAAAUGUGUUGUGCUUGAAUAAGCUUGUUAUGUAAUUAACAUUAUUACAUGUGUAUUUGUCGCCAUCAUGUGGUCAUGGCAGUUAAUACAUCUUUGAGAAGUGUGUAAUUUGAAGCAAACUUUAUUGACCGGAAGUUACAUAAGCCAAGCAGAGAAAUCUCCGGUUCCAGCACGUACUUUAUGGUGGUUAUUUUCGAAGAAAAAACUGCAUAUAUCUUUUGUUUAAGGUUGCAUCGCCGUUUCACCCUUUUGAAUGUCAUUAAACCUGCUGACAACGCUCAUCGGUCUCCAGAGUCGUGACGUAAGAAAGGUGUUAAUCAGCCCUUGCAUCACACAUGCACCCCUAACGGCACAGUGAAACGGCGCCAUCCAAGCAGACAGAGGUAACACAGUCGUCGCACGCUAGAGUGAAGCUGACCACUACUACGCUACAACGCAAACGGCAUACAGCCGUGAUUCAGCAGUCACCAUCUAGUCCACCCCACCAUGUCCAGCAAGGCGCCAUCCUUAAAGACCCGGUCCGAGGCUUCGACGAACUCCUCCACAGGUUCCGCAGCAGCUAGGGCAAGAGCAAAAGCUGAGGCAGCCAAAGCCCGCCUCGGUUUUGCAGCAAAAGAAAUGGACUUAAAAGUAGAAAAAGCUCAAAUAGAGGCAUCUAUUGAAUUUCUUCAACAUGAAAAAGAUGUUGCAUCUGCUAUUGCUGAAGCAGAGGCGUUAGAAACAGCUGUAGUCACACAGGUAGAAGCACGCAGCAAUCCUUGUUCUUUGGUCACAUCUGAACGUACAAAGCAAUAUGUCCUCAGCCAAGCUGAAUUUGUAAAAGAGGGAAAAUAUGUUGUUACACAGCCAUCACAAUGUGAAAAUGCUCCUCAGAGCAAGUCAAAGCUCAGUAGCAAUCAAUUACUUCAACCAACAAAACAAAGUGACUCUCAACAAAUUCCCUUUGGCCCCCCUAAUGAUCUUAAAAACUUCCAAAACCCCUCAGUCAUUUCCUCCUCUCCUCACAUCCAAAACAAUGACAGUGCAAGUUGGUCAACUCAGGUAUCAGCAUCCAACUUCCAGGAUGUCCGGCCUUCAUGCCAAGAGCCUAAAAACUCUAAUGUGAGUGACUUCAUUAGAUACUUUGCUCGCCGGGAAAUAGUAGCAACAGGACUACUGCAGUUUAACGACAAGCCUCAAAAUUUCAGAGCUUGGAAACGUUCCUUUAAAAAUGCAAUAAAUGGAUUAGAGUUAACAACAAGUGAAGAGAUGGACUUGAUGUUAAAGUGGCUUGGCAAAGAAUCCUCUGAACACGUAGACCAAAUUAGAGCCAUACACAUUAACAACCCAACCAAAGGUCUCAAUAUGAUGUGGGACAGACUUGAGCAAUGUUAUGGCUCAGCUGAAGUGAUUGAGGAUACACUCUUCAAAAGAAUUGAUAUGUUCCCCAAAAUCACAUCCAAAGUCUACACAAAACUAAGGAAGUUUAGUGACCUGCUCAUGGAAAUGCAGAGUGCUAAAGCUGAAGGAGACCUUCCUGGUCUUGCGUUUUUGGAUACCGCAAGAGGAUUAAAUCCAAUUGUGCAGAAACUUCCCUUCAAUUUGCAAGAAAGGUGGAUCACAGUAGGAGCUAAAUACAAACGCACACAACGUGUCCCCUUCCCACCAUUCAAUGUUUUUGUAGACUUUGUAACGCAGGAAGCUAACUCAAGAAAUGACCCCAGUUUUAACUUUACAUCGUUCCCUGACGUACCCAAACUCGACAAACUGCCAUGGAGAGCAUAUAAACAAAAAUAAAUUUCAGUGCACAAAACUGAUGUUGUCUCCCGUUACAAUUUAGAUACACAAAGAACGGCAAACAAAGCUGUAGACAGCGACAAGCUUUGCCCAAUUCACAUGAAACCUCAUCCCCUCUUGAAGUGCAGAUCAUUUCGAAUGAAAACACUCGAUGAUCGAAAAGCAUUCUUAAAAGAGAACCACAUUUGCUUCAAAUGCUGUUCUUCAUCUACACACAUUGCAAAAAACUGUAUGGUCAAGAUACAGUGCUCUGAGUGUCUUGAUGAAAAACACUGCACUGCUCUUCACCCAGGACCAGCACCCUGGCUUAGAGUAACUGAACCUGCAGCAGAGUAUGGCGGGGAGAGUGACUCCGCUAAGUCGGAGGAGAUCACGUCCAAGUGCACACAGGUUUGUGGCGUGAACGAAGCAGGCAGAUCCUGCUCUAAAAUUAGUCUUGUUAAAGUGUACCCAGCAGGCCAUCCUGAACAAGCAGUAAGGCUCUAUGCCAUCCAUGAUGAACAAAGCAACAGGUCGUUAGUAUGUCCUGAGUUCUUUGAAUUGUUCAAUGACCGUGGCCCUAGUUCCCCUUAUUCACUAAGGACAUGUGCUGGUACUAAAGAAGCAAUGGGCAGGAGAGCUACAGGAUAUGUAGUGGCAGCCAUAGAUGGUUCAGUCCACAUCCCAUUGCCUAGCCUCAUUGAAUGUAGAAAUAUCCCAAACGAUAGAGAUGAAAUUCCCACACCCAGUGCAGCUAUACAACACAGUCAUCUAAAGUCAGUAGCUCACCUUAUCCCUGACCUGGACUCUAAUGCCCCCACACUCAUGCUUCUCGGACGGGAUGCUAUUAGAGUUCACAAAGUCCGUAAACAGAUAAGUGGCCCUAACAACGCACCCUAUGCCCAAAAAUUGGACCUCGGGUGGGUCAUAGUAGGAAACGUGUGUUUAGGUGAUGUCCACAAAACUCUCGCUGUGAAGACGCUGUUCACAAAUACAACUGAGAAGGGGCGUCCUACAAUGUUUGAGCCAUGCCCCAAUGUAUUUAAUGUAAUAGAGAGACAUUGUGAGAUACAAGUUCCAUUCAGCUUCAGCACUCAGCUUGUGGAUAGCGCUUGUGAACCUGAUCAUUUAGGAUGUAAUGUGUUCAAACAAACCAGACAUGACAAUUACAUCGCACCCUCCAUUCAGGACAAAGCCUUCUUGAAAAUAAUGGAAGAAGGACUACAAAAGGACACAGACAAGAGCUGGACAGCUCCAUUACCAUUCAAGUCGCCACGUCAAAAACUCCCUAACAACAGACCGCAUGCCCUGAGCCGCUUAAUGUCUCUUGUUCGUAGCUUUGAAAGGAAAGAAGAAAUGAAAGAACAUUUCAUCACGUUUAUGGACAAAAUAUUUGAAAACAAACAUGCAGAGCUUGCCCCUCCACUGAAAGACGAAGAGGAAUGUUGGUAUUUGCCACUAUUGGGUGUCUACCACCCUCGCAAGCCCAAACAGAUUAGGGUCGUCUUUGACAGCAGCGCGAAGUACAAGAACGUGUCACUAAAUGAUGUGUUGUUGACAGGACCAGACCUUAACAACUCACUGUUAGGUGUCCGAAUACGCUUCAGAAAGGAAGCUGUUGCCUUCACAGCCGACAUUGAACAGAUGUUUUACUGUUUCAAUGUUCCAGAGCAAGACAGAAAUUACUUGCGUUUUUUGUGGUUUCGUGACAAUGACAUUUCCAAAGACAUUGUAGAGUAUAGGAUGAGAGUCCACGUCUUUGGGAAUAGCCCAUCACCAGCAGUGGCCAUAUACGGAUUACAUCAGUCUGUUCUACGCAACCAGCCAGAUUGUGAUCCAGAUGUCAAGCAGUUUGUCACACACGACUUCUACGUAGACGACGGACUCAAAUCCCUCUCCACUGUUGAAAUGGCUGUGUCCUUAUUACAUAGAACCCGUGACACACUUGCAAACUCAAAUCUAAGACUGCAUAAAAUAGCAGCUAACAGAAAAGAGGUACUUGAAGCAUUCCCUUCACAAGAUCAUGCCAAAGACCUAAAGGACUUGGACUUUGAAGCUGAUUCAGUCCCCAUGCAACGUAGCCUGGAUCUCCUUUGGGACCUAAAGAAAGACUGCUUCACCUUUAGUGUGUCAGACGAGACAAAGCCCUUUACUAGACGAGGUGUUUUAUCAACAAUAAACAGCCUUUAUGAUCCAUUAGGCUUUGUAGCACCAGUAACAAUGCAGGGAAAGUCCAUUCUGCAUGAACUUAUGGCAGAGAAUGGAGACUGGGAUGCACCAUUGCCCUCAGAAAUGGAAGAGUCCUGGACCCUGUGGAAAGACUCACUUAAAGAACUGUCCAACUUGACCAUUCCCAGAGCGUACACAGAAAUUUCUCCCUCAACAACUACAAAAAAAGAGUUGUUGGUAUUUUCGGACGCAUCUACUAAGGCUAUAGCUGCAGUGGCCUAUUUAAGAGUAACAGAUGCAGCUAGGAACUGUGAAGUAGGCUUUGUUUUAGGUAAGGCAAAGUUAGCACCACGCCAGGAUCAGACCAUACCAAGAUUAGAGCUUAGUGCUGCUGUGUUAGCAGUCGAGCUUGCAGAUCUUCUCACUGACGAAUUAGGCUUUGAAAUAGACUACACUGCAUUCUAUACAGACAGUAAAGUAGUUCUAGGUUAUAUCCACAACGAGACAAGAAGAUUUUAUGUCUACGUGGCUAACCGUGUUACGAGAAUCCGCAAAUCUUCUCAACCAAGCCAAUGGCAUUACGUACCGAGCAGCCAGAACCAAGCAGAUCACGCCACUCGUUCUGUUCCUGCUUACCAGCUACCCCUUAGUAACUGGUUCACUGGCCCUGACUUCAUGCUCCAAGAUCAAAGUCCCUCAAAUGACUCCUUUGAACUUGUUGAACCUUGCACGGACUCUGAUGUCAGACCACAGGUGUCUACACUCAAAACCACAAUCUCAACCAACCAACUUGGCUCUGACAGAUUCAACAAGUUUUCGACAUGGAAGUCUCUCAAGCGUGCUGUUUCGAGACUACUACACGUCAUACAUAACUUCAAAUCACUGCCGUGGUUGGCACUACUGUGAGACAGGACUCACUGUAGACGAGUCAAACCAAGUCCAAAACAUAAUCAUUCAAGCAGUACAACGGGAUGUGUCUGCCAAGGAAUUGAAGUGUGUGCAAAAACACGAUAAACUACCCCGAACCAGUCCUCUCAAGAACCCAGACCCCUACCUGGAUGAAAAUGGACUUCUUAGAGUAGGAGGUCGCAUCUGUGAUUCAAACUUAAGCCCAGGUGAAAAGAACCCACUCAUAGUUCCUGGCCAACACCAUAUUGCAGCUCUUCUCAUUAAGCACUACCACGAGCAGACCCGACACCAAGGUCGCCUUUUCACAGAAGGAGCUGUUCGCUCUGCAGGAUGGUGGAUUGUAGGUGGCAAGAGAAAGGUGAGCACAAUCAUCUAUCAUUGUGUAACCUGCAAAAGACUUCGUGCCCCUAUGAGUACACAAAAAAUGUCGAACCUCCCUCCAGACCGUCUUACAACGGACCCCCCAUUCACUAAUGUCGGCUUAGAUGUUUUUGUCCCAUGGUUUGUGUCUUCACAGCGCAAAAGAGGAAGUAUCAUCCAAAAUAAAAGGUGGGCUGUCUUAUUCACGUGCUUGAGUAUUAGAGCAGUUCACAUUGAGGUGAUAGUCUCUCGAUACCUCUAGCUUUGUUAAUGCAUUCAGACGGUUUCUGGCAGUAAGAGGACCUGUAAAAAGUGUUCGUUCUGAUAGAGGUACCAAUUUUGUCAGCGCAUGUAAAGAACUGAAGAUCCCCUCAAAUUUAGACAACACAGCUGUACAAACCUACCUUAAAGAUCACGGAUGUACAUGGACUUUUAACCCUCCACACGCUUCCCACUUUGGCGGGUCAUGGGAAAGAAUGAUUGGACUUGCCCGGAAAAUAUUGGACACAAUGUUUUUCCAGCUCAAGACCACUAAACUCACUCACGAAGUUCUUGUCACCUUUAUGGCAGAAGUGGCGGCUAUUAUAAACGCAAGACCCCUUGUCCCUGUUUCAUCGGACCCAAGUGACCCUUUCACUUUGACUCCGGCCACUCUUAUAACCCAAAAGGUAACCCCUCUUAAGGCUCCAGUUGGCAACUUUACAGCGUCAGACCUCUACAAACACCAGUGGCGCCAAGUCCAGCACCUGUCAAACACCUUCUGGGACAGGUGGAAGAAGGAGUUCCUUCCCACUCUCCAACCACGUCGCAAGUGGCAUUCCAGUCAACUUAACGUGAGCGUAGGUUCGGUCGUUCUACUCAAAGACAGCCAAAUUCCCCGAAAUGAAUGGCCUCUUGCACGUGUAACUCAGGUGUUCCCAAGUAAAGAUGGCAAAGUCCGUUCAGUAGAGCUAAGGGUAGUCAGCUCAGAUGAUACAAAGGUAUUGACCAGACCCAUCUCAGAAAUUGUACCUUUGAUUAUUUCAUGAGAGGUAUUUGUUUUUUCCAGUUAUUUUUGUGGCGUUUAUCCACGCCAAGCGGGGAGUGUUCUGUUACAACUAAAAGUUGUAAACAUGUUGUUGAAAUGUGUUGUGCUUAAAUAAGCUUGUUAUGUAAUUAACAUUAUUACAUGUGUAUUUGUCGCCAUCAUGUGGUCAUGGCAGUUAAUACAUCUUUGAGAAGUGUGUAUUUUGAAUCAAACUUUAUUGACCGGAAGUUACAUAAGCCAAGCAGAGAAAUCUCCGGUUCCAGCACGUACUUUAUGGUGGUUAUUUUCGAAGAAAAAAAUGCAUAUAUCUUUUCAUACAAUCAAUCAAUGUUUAUUUAUAUAGCCCUAAAUCACAAGUGUCUCAAAGGGCUGUACAAGCCACAACGACAUCCUCGGUACAGAGCCCACAUACGUUUGUUUAAGGUUGCAUCGCCGGUAUGUAUCAUGAGUUGAACUUUGAAACUUGGUUUUUGUCUAAAAUAUUUCGAGCUAAAUUUAUGAUUUUUGAUGUAUGAUCUUUGCCAUACUCAUUAGCAAUCAUUUGUGAUGUCAUCUAAGAUGGCGUCGUAGUACAAAUUCACUUUGUUUACCUUCUCAUGCCUUGUAAGGUAGCAUUACAGCAUAUAUAUGAAUACAUUUGCAUAACAUAUGUAUAUAUUGACUGUAUUGUUUGUCUUUUUAGUUUCACCCUUUUGAAUGUCAUUAAACCUGCUGACAUCUCUCCAGAGUGGUGACGUAAGAAAGGUGUUAAUCAGCCCUUGCAUCACACAUGCACCCCUAACGGCACACUGACGUUCUCUCGGUUCAUGUGAGUAUUGGUCCAGCAGCCACAGGCUUCCAGUUCCUGGUUCCCGGAGCGCUUUUGGGAGUGAAGCUUGCGCAGGUUUUUGUAGAGCUGCUUCCAGUGCAAAGCCUGCUGGGAGAUGUCUCGCACGUCGCUGUCCAUUUUGUCUCUGACAUACGUCAACUCCAGCUCCUUUUCCUCGACAGCCUCUCCAUCUUUGCCAGCUUGGCCUCCAGCUGCCUGAUGUCAGCCUGCAGCUUGAGGCAGGACCUGUCCUGCUCCCCGCAUCUGGUCUCCAGCUCCUAGUUCAUGCCUUCCUCCGCCAUGUUUGGACAGACAACUGAAAGCUUUUCUCUUCAUGACUGCUGGCAUCACGUGUCAUGUGACUUCAGCUCUUUGUUACACGGGAACUGGAUCCAAAAGUGAGGAUGUCAUAGAACCGGGUGUGUGAUGUCAUGCAGGGGCAGGGCCAGAGCACCGUUGCCACACUUUCGACAUUUUUACGAAGAAACCUUGGGUAGCCCUGCUCCCCCUACAGGUGUGAAAGAUGUGACUAGAUGACUCGUCACUCAUCGCUCAGUGCAGACUUCAGCAGCCCACCUCAACAGCCAUCGCCACGACAACAGCAGCCUUCAGGACCCUGACAUGGACAACUC